ACUCCUACGGGAGGCAGCAGUAGGGAAUCUUCCACAAUGGGCGCAAGCCUGAUGGAGCAACACCGCGUGAGUGAAGAAGGGUUUCGGCUCGUAAAGCUCUGUUGUUAAAGAAGAACACGUAUGAGAGUAACUGUUCAUACGUUGACGGUAUUUAACCAGAAAGUCACGGCUAACUACGUGCCAGCAGCCGCGGUAAUACGUAGGUGGCAAGCGUUAUCCGGAUUUAUUGGGCGUAAAGAGAGUGCAGGCGGUUUUCUAAGUCUGAUGUGAAAGCCUUCGGCUUAACCGGAGAAGUGCAUCGGAAACUGGAUAACUUGAGUGCAGAAGAGGGUAGUGGAACUCCAUGUGUAGCGGUGGAAUGCGUAGAUAUAUGGAAGAACACCAGUGGCGAAGGCGGCUACCUGGUCUGCAACUGACGCUGAGACUCGAAAGCAUGGGGUAGCGAACAGGAUUAGAUACCCUGGUAGGAAAGCCC
rnacentral:rRNA from 1 species